rnacentral:rRNA from 1 species
UGCAAGUCGGACGGUAGCACAGAGGAGCUUGCUCCUCGGGUGACGAGUGGCGGAAGGGUGAGUAAUGUCUGGGAAACUGCCCGAUGGAGGGGGAUAACUACUGGAAACGGUAGCUAAUACCGCAUAACGUCGCAAGACCAAAGUGGGGGACCUUCGGGCCUCACGCCAUCGGAUGUGCCCAGAUGGGAUUAGCUUGUAGGCGGGGUAACGGCCCACCUAGGCGACGAUCCCUAGCUGGUCUGAGAGGAUGACCAGCCACACUGGAACUGAGACACGGUCCAGACUCCUACGGGAGGCAGCAGUGGGGAAUAUUGCACAAUGGGCGCAAGCCUGAUGCAGCCAUGCCGCGUGUAUGAAGAAGGCCUUCGGGUUGUAAAGUACUUUCAGCGGGGAGGAAGGUGCUGAGGUUAAUAACCUCAGCAAUUGACGUUACCCGCAGAAGAAGCACCGGCUAACUCCGUGCCAGCAGCCGCGGUAAUACGGAGGGUGCAAGCGUUAAUCGGAAUUACUGGGCGUAAAGCGCACGCAGGCGGUCUGUUAAGUCAGAUGUGAAAUCCCCGGGCUUAACCUGGGAACUGCAUUUGAAACUGGCAGGCUUGAGUCUCGUAGAGGGGGGUAGAAUUCCAGG